UCCCAGGUGGCUCAGUGGUAAAGAAUCUGCCUGCAAUGCAAGAGACACAGGUUCAAUUCCUGGGUUGGGAA
rnacentral:tRNA from 1 species